rnacentral:rRNA from 1 species
UACGGGGGGGGCAAGCGUUGUUCGGAAUUACUGGGCGUAAAGGGCUCGUAGGUGGCCAAUUAAGUCAGACGUGAAAUCCCCAGGCUUAACCUGGGAACUGCGUCUGAUACUGGUUGGCUUGAGUUCGGGAGAGGGAUGUAGAAUUCCAGGUGUAGCGGUGAAAUGCGUAGAUAUCUGGAGGAAUACCGGUGGCGAAGGCGGCAUCCUGGACCGAAACUGACGCUGAGGCGCGAAAGCUAGGGGAGCAAACGGG